rnacentral:rRNA from 1 species
UACGUAGGGUGCGAGCGUUAAUCGGAAUUACUGGGCGUAAAGCGUGCGCAGGCGGAUUGUUAAGCAAGAUGUGAAAUCCCCGGGCUUAACCUGGGAAUGGCAUUUUGAACUGGCAGUCUAGAGUGUGUCAGAGGGGGGUGGAAUUCCACGUGUAGCAGUGAAAUGCGUAGAUAUGUGGAGGAACACCAAUGGCGAAGGCAGCCCCCUGGGAUAACACUGACGCUCAUGUACGAAAGCGUGGGUAGCAAACAGGAUUAGAUACCCCCGUAGUCC